GCGCUUGUAGCUCAGUGGAUAGAGCGUCUCUUUGCGGAAGAGAAGGCCAGAGGUUCAAAUCCUCUCAGGCGCACCU
rnacentral:tRNA from 1 species